CCUUCUGGACUUUUCUAGGUUCGGUGGUAACCUCUUCUGUGAGCUCAUUCUUCCCCCCUCUCCUCCCUCUCAGUCUGAGGUUAUGGGUUCGAUUAAAACCUUGGCCUCUGGU
rnacentral:lncRNA from 1 species